rnacentral:lncRNA from 1 species
AUGAAUUCUGGUUUUUAUUACGAGAAAUUCAGAAAUACUCCAAAUGGUAAGAGAGUUCAACAUAUAUUAUUAUUUGGUGAUAUUUUGUUGUUUGUACAAUUUAAAUGCACCUUUUGCUGGAAUAUGUAUCAGUGCUAACAAACACUUAAAAGACUAGCUAUUUAUCACUACUUUGGUUGAAGUAUCCAAAUGUUUAAAAUUUUAGUUCUAUGAAAUGCUAUUA